GUGCCAGCAGCCGCGGUAAUACGGAGGGUCCAAGCGUUAUCCGGAUUCACUGGGUUUAAAGGGUGCGCAGGCGGCCAAGUAAGUCAGUGGUGAAAGCCUUCGGCUCAACCGGAGAAUUGCCAUUGAAACUACUUGGCUUGAGUGCAGCAGAGGUAGGCGGAAUGUAGCAUGUAGCGGUGAAAUGCAUAGAUAUGCUACAGAACACCGAUAGCGAAAGCAGCUUACCACACUGUAACUGACGCUGAGGCACGAAAGCAUGGGUAGCAAACAGGAUUAGAAACCCGAGUAGUCC
rnacentral:rRNA from 1 species